AUACGUAGGGGGCGAGCGUUGUCCGGAAUGAUUGGGCGUAAAGGGCGCGUAGGCGGCGCGGUAAGUCUGGAGUGAAAGUCCUGUUUUUAAGAUGGGAAUUGCUUUGGAUACUGUCGGGCUUGAGUGCAGGAGAGGUAAGUGGAAUUCCCAGUGUAGCGGUGAAAUGCGUAGAGAUUGGGAGGAACACCAGUGGCGAAGGCGACUUACUGGACUGUAACUGACGCUGAGGCGCGGAAGUGUGGGGAGCAAACAGGAUUAGAUACCCUGGUAGUCCACACUGUAAACGAUGAAUGCUAGGUGUAGGGGGUAUCGACCCCUUCUGUGCCGCAGUCAACACAAUAAGCAUUCCGCCUGGGGAGUACGGCCGCAAGGUUGAAACUCAAAUGAAUUGACGGGG
rnacentral:rRNA from 1 species